UGGUGCUGAUACCCAGAGUCGAACUGGGGACCUCACCCUUACCAAGGGUGCGCUCUACCAACUGAGCCAUAUCAGC
rnacentral:tRNA from 9 species